GCCCAGGUGGUGGAAUGGUAGACACGCUAGUUUGAGGGGCUAGUGGAGCAAUCCGUGGAGGUUCAAGUCCUCUCCUGGGCA
rnacentral:tRNA from 1 species